UGUGGAAAGAGCUGACGCAGAAGCUUUUGGGCAGUCAGUUCUCUCUGAACUGGAACGAGUUAGUGGCACCAAUAUCUCACCGGUCAUCACAGUCCAAUACACACAGGUUCCUCAAGCGCUAUGUGUUUCAGACCGCCUUAUACACACUAUAAAGAGAGCGAAACUCUCAACGUCAUGGUGACACACCCACUCCUCAGUCAAACCUGAUCCGUCUCAUUGACAAACAAAUGCGCAUAAGGCUGCUAAGGAUCGCAGACAGGCAAUAUGUGGAAGGGUUUUAACUGUAGCUAUAAGCUAUAUCAUAGGAGAACAGCUCAGGAAAAUGUCAGCGCUUUAGUUUUAAAGUUCUUUCUGAUUAAAUGAUGCAUUCCGUGUAAAAAAGAACCAUUUUUCUUUUGAUUUUAAAUUAACAUUUAACUAAAAAAAAGUCUUUCCAUCAACUAGGUGUGCAGCACUUUCAGCGGUCCAGUUCUCAAACUUGUUUUUCCUCUUUUUCAAACAAGUUGUCAUUGUUUUUUUUUUGAAACACAUUCAUUAAUUAGAAAAACAGUUAGCGGGGAGCAUUAACAGCAUUCCCAACUACCAAGUUCAAAUACAGACAGAGCAGAUUUGGCCAAACUAUCAGCCAUGAGAUUCUUCUCUCUAGAGAUCCAGACAAAAGAAACAGAUUCAAACUCAGCAGAAAGAUUUAAAAUAUCAGAAACCACACUGUGAAUUUCUGCAACACUCAGAUCCCGAGUUAGGCUCGUCACAAGUUGCUUCGAGUCCACUUCAAAAAAGAUGGGUCAAAACAAUCUCCUCUCAUUGGCCCUCUGGCUUCUUCCCGUGAGCGUAACUGUUGUUGUCUCUGCGCAGGUUUGCUUGGAAAAUUUUGGAACGUUUAGACCAGGUGAUACUUUUGACAGGAACCGUCAACUUAUCCUCUCAUCUCUUGCAUCUGAGGUGGCAGCUAAAGAUGGCUUCUUCAACGUUUCGGUUGGGACGUAUCCUGACCAGGUCUACGCGCUGGGGAUGUGCAUCCCAGGCGCUAAACAAGAGUUUUGUUCGGAUUGUAUCAAGGCUGCGUCUGACCAGUUAAUACAGAGCUGUCCCAACCAGGCAGCAGCCUUUUAUUGGUCAGGUGGAGGUGAAACUCUAUGUAUGGCACGCUACUCUAACAGCCCGUCUUUUAGACCGGUGGAUACAGAUUCACCUUCUUAUGGUGCCAACGUUGAAAAUCUCAGCACAAACUUAACAGAUUUUGACAGGUUCUUGGAGCGAUUAGCAGUUCGUAUGGUGACCGCAGCUUUGUCAUCAUCAGGCAAGAAUGUACCAGUCUCUAACAGUAGAUUCUACGCAGCUGAUGUAGCAGCCUUGACGAGCUCUAUGAAUAUUGCUGUCGUGGGAAGCAAGGCGGCUAUGUGUAUUGGCCUAAUUGUUUUUUCCGGUUGGAUAUGUACCCCUACAAUGGUGCCUUUAGUCCUCUUAAGUUAGCGCCUCAGCCUACAUCUCAGCCUGCUUCUCAACCCGCGUCUCAACCUGCUUCUCAACCCGUGUCUCAGCUGCAGUCCCCACCUCCCCUGACCAACGAAGAUGGGAAAACGAUUGAUAAGGGAGCUAUCAUAGGACUUGUGGCUGCAGUGCUCAUAAUUAACCUGUAAAUGUAAAUUGAAGUAAUUUGUUUUAAAUGAUAAAUCUCUAUGUAUCAUCUGAAAUAUUUUUAUUUAAUUAUAAAUUAUUAAAAAAAUUUAAAAUUGA